GGUCGAUUAGCUCAGUUGGUUAGAGCGUGGUGCUAAUAGGUCUCUAUGGUACGCCAAGGUCGAGGGUUCGACCCCCUCAUUGACCA